UACGGAGGGUGCAAACGUUGCUCGGAAUCAUUGGGCGUAAAGCGCACGUAGGCGGCCCGCCAAGUCGGAUGUGAAAGCCCAGGGCUCAACCCUGGAAGUGCAUUCGAAACUGACAGGCUUGAAUAUGGAAGAGGAUCGCGGAAUUCCCGGUGUAGAGGUGAAAUUCGUAGAUAUCGGGAGGAACACCAGUGGCGAAGGCGGCGAUCUGGGCCAAUAUUGACGCUGAGGUGCGAAAGCGUGGGGAGCAAACAGG
rnacentral:rRNA from 1 species